UGCGUAGGGUGCAAGCGUUAAUCGGAAUUACUGGGCGUAAAGCGUGCGCAGGCGGUUUUGUAAGACUGUCGUGAAAUCCCCGGGCUCAACCUGGGAAUGGCGAUGGUGACUGCAAGGCUAGAGUUUGGCAGAGGGGGGUAGAAUUCCACGUGUAGCAGUGAAAUGCGUAGAUAUGUGGAGGAACACCGAUGGCGAAGGCAGCCCCCUGGGUCAAAACUGACGCUCAUGCACGAAAGCGUGGGGAGCAAACAGG
rnacentral:rRNA from 1 species